GCAUCACAUUUCCUCAGCUAGAAGCACGAAUCUUCCCCGUCUAACAUAUUCGCUCGAAUCAUCCUGGAUAACAAUGUAUGUUUCAAAGGAGAGUAUGAUAAUAAACUGUAAUUGUUACAUUCUGUCGUACAAUCUAAACAAGUAUGUCCAAAUAAAAUAUCACACUGAAAUAACAACGUAUAAUACUGGCACUAGCUUCAUUUAACAAGACUGCAAUCUGAAUAAUUUCAGUGGGUGCCCAAAUCAAAGGGCAUCCAUGAAGUGAGUGCAUAUCAUUCCUAUAACCUACAAACCCAAAGUGUGGCAAUAGUGAUCAAUUUAUGAGUUAUGGGAAAGGGAUCUGGCAGAGAUGGGAAUGGGGGUGAGUCAGUAAUAAUUCUAGCACCAAACAUAUAUUUUGGAUAAUAAAACUAUUUGUAAAAAAUUGAGAAGACAUGAAUUUGACUGAGCUGGGUCAGGAACAAGGAUAGGUAACCAAUGGCUAGACAUAAAAAAGGAAUUAAUGUUUCAAAUAUUAUAAGGGAGUCAAAUACUACCAAAAUACUUAGCUAAAACACAAUGAAAAGAUACCAAACCGUGCUCUGAAACAAAGACCACUGGUGUGGAGAGAUCCUCACUUCUUGAAGAAAAGAUCGAGAAAGUAAUUCAGCUGAAGGUUGUACAUAAGGGGUUCUCAACCUGCAGCCCACUGUUGUUUUUUAUAUGGUCUGUGUAUAUAUAGUGUGUUAAUUUGUAUGAUGUAACUGAUAUCAGAAAACAUGCUUCAUUAAUACUAUCAGUAUUUGGUACCAGGGCUAUCUAUUGCUGUGAGUAACUGUUCAGUUUUAUGAAGAAUCUCAGAUAAAGAAUUAGGUUGCAUCUCACUGAUGAAUACUUGGAUGGAUGGAUGUACAUCAUAACAGAAAUUAAACCUAAUAUUGAAAGGUUACUCUAGAAAGUCAGUGUCAGAUAUAUUAUAACUAUGACUGAUUCUGUUAAAGAAAAUGUAAAUCUGUUGUAAUACAAAUUAACAGUAGUUCUAAUAAACUGCCAUUAAGUUUCAAUAAAUUGUUCUCAUUUAUAAGCUUACAGCUCACAAGUUGAUAAAUGGUGAAUGUAGUGCUAUGUUUGUAAAGGGUUAAAGAAUCUCUGGAUUAGAACAGGCAAUUAAGUCUAUCUUAUAUAGGUGAGAUUGCAGGUUGCCACAGUGACAAGUAUAAAGAUUGUUGUCUUCUUUCAUGUAGUUUGGUAGAUAUUAAUCCAUGUUUCAGAUGAGCUAAUUUCGUGUUGCUCUUAUGGCUAAGAUUGAUUAGAUUAUGCUUUACUACCCAUGGAUAUAUGAAGUUCUAUUUCAUGCAGUUACAAGUUGAUAAUUAAACAUUUAAAAUAUUUUGUUUUAUUUCAUAUUUGCUUUAACACAAGUGCUCUGGACAGAACUUGACACAUAAGAUUAGAUACCUAUAUUACAACAAUAACAACAACAACAACAUUGUGAAUGUAUACUGUACUGUAGGUUGUGUGCGCACACAUUCAUAUAAGAUAGACAACUAAUGUUUGAAGGUCAUAUGUUAUACCAUUCCAUUUUCAAAACUGUUGUCAUGUAAUUACAGAUACCUUUAGCAUCUGAAAUUAAAUGGUCAUGAAGCA